rnacentral:rRNA from 1 species
GCAGCACAGUAAGAGCUUGCUCUUAUGGGUGGCGAGUGGCGGACGGGUGAGGAAUACAUCGGAAUCUACUUUUUCGUGGGGGAUAACGUAGGGAAACUUACGCUAAUACCGCAUACGACCUACGGGUGAAAGCAGGGGAUCUUCGGACCUUGCGCGAUUGAAUGAGCCGAUGUCGGAUUAGCUAGUUGGCGGGGUAAAGGCCCACCAAGGCGACGAUCCGUAGCUGGUCUGAGAGGAUGAUCAGCCACACUGGAACUGAGACACGGUCCAGACUCCUACGGGAGGCAGCAGUGGGGAAUAUUGGACAAUGGGCGCAAGCCUGAUCCAGCCAUACCGCGUGGGUGAAGAAGGCCUUCGGGUUGUAAAGCCCUUUUGUUGGGAAAGAAAUCCAGCCGGCUAAUACCUGGUUGGGAUGACGGUACCCAAAGAAUAAGCACCGGCUAACUUCGUGCCAGCAGCCGCGGUAAUACGAAGGGUGCAAGCGUUACUCGGAAUUACUGGGCGUAAAGCGUGCGUAGGUGGUUGUUUAAGUCUGUUGUGAAAGCCCUGGGCUCAACCUGGGAACUGCAGUGGAAACUGGACAACUAGAGUGUGGUAGAGGGUAGCGGAAUUCCCGGUGUAGCAGUGAAAUGCGUAGAGAUCGGGAGGAACAUCCAUGGCGAAGGCAGCUACCUGGACCAACACUGACAC